rnacentral:rRNA from 1 species
UACGUAGGGUGCAAGCGUUGUCCGGAAUUAUUGGGCGUAAAGAGCUUGUAGGCGGUUUGUCGCGUCUGCUGUGAAAUUUCGGGGCUCAACCCCGAACUUGCAGUGGGUACGGGCAGGCUAGAGUGUGGUAGGGGAGACUGGAAUUCCUGGUGUAGCGGUGAAAUGCGCAGAUAUCAGGAGGAACACCGGUGGCGAAGGCGGCGACCUGGGUCGAGACUGACGCUGAGGCGCGAAAGCGUGGGGAGCAAACAGG